rnacentral:tRNA from 1 species
GGUUCUGUAGCUCAGAGGUAGAGCGUCCGUCUCAUAAGCGGGUAGUCGUGGGUUCGAGCCCCACCAGAACUA